GACGAACGCUGGCGGCGUGCUUAACACAUGCAAGUCGAACGGAAAGGCCCUGCUUUUGUGGGGUGCUCGAGUGGCGAACGGGUGAGUAACACGUGAGUAACCUGCCCUUGACUUUGGGAUAACUUCAGGAAACUGGGGCUAAUACCGGAUAGGAGCUCCUGCUGCAUGGUGGGGGUUGGAAAGUUUCGGCGGUUGGGGAUGGACUCGCGGCUUAUCAGCUUGUUGGUGGGGUAGUGGCUUACCAAGGCUUUGACGGGUAGCCGGCCUGAGAGGGUGACCGGCCACAUUGGGACUAGAGUCCGGCCCAGACUCCUACGGGAGGCAGCAGUGGGGAAUAUUGCACAAUGGGCGGAAGCCUGAUGAAGGAACGCCGCGUGCGGGAUAACGGCCUUCGGGUUGUAAACCGCUUUCGCCUGUGACGAAGCGUGAGUGACGGUAAUGGGUAAAGAAGCACCGGCUAACUACGUG
rnacentral:rRNA from 1 species